rnacentral:snRNA from 1 species
AUAACUUUCUCGGCCUCUUGGCUAAGAUAGAGUAUAAUAUUUGUUAUUUUCGGUUUAAUAUCUUAUAUAUGGACCAUAAAUUCUUUUUUAUAUUAAAUAUAUAAUUAUCAAAUAUGAUUGUGUCAUCGCAGCGCACGAGCAUUA